GAUGAAGAACGUAGCGAAAUGCGAUACGUAGUGUGAAUUGCAGAAUUCAGUGAAUCAUCGAAUCUUUGAACGCACAUUGCGCCCUUUGGUAUUCCAAAGGGCAUGCCUGUUCGAGCGUCAUUUGUACCCUCAAGCUUUGCUUGGUGUUGGGCGUCUUGUCUCCAGUCCGCUGGAGACUCGCCUUAAAGUCAUUGGCAGCCGGCCUACUGGUUUCGGAGCGCAGCACAAGUCGCACUCUUUUCCAGCCAAUGUCAGCGUGCAACAAGCCUUUUUUCAACUUGUGACCUCGGAUCAGGUAGGGAUACCCGCUGAACUUAAGCAUAUCAAUAAGCGGAGGA
rnacentral:misc_RNA from 1 species